rnacentral:rRNA from 1 species
UACGUAGGGUGCGAGCGUUGCCCGGAUUUAUUGGGCGUAAAGGGCGCGUAGGCGGUGAGAUGCGUCCGUUGUGAAAUCGCCCGGCUCAACUGGGCGGGGUCAGCGGAUACGGUCUCACUUGAGCAAGCUAGGGGGCAAUGGAAUUCCCGGUGUAGUGGUGGAAUGCGUAGAUAUCGGGAGGAACACCGGUGGCGAAGGCGGCGACCUGGGUAGAUACUGACGCUGAGGUGCGAAAGCGUGGGGAGCAAACAGG